rnacentral:rRNA from 1 species
GAUCAUGGCUCAGGAUGAACGCUGGCGGCGUGCCUAACACAUGCAAGUCGAGCGGAGAUAAGUUGAAGCCUAGCGAUUCUUAUCGUUAGCGGCGGAUGGGUGAGUAACACGUGGGUAACCUGCCCUGUACUGGGGGAUAACAGCUGGAAACGGCUGUUAAUACCGCAUAUGCGCACGGAGCCGCAUGGCCCUGGGCGGAAAGAUUCAUCGGUACAGGAUGGGCCCGCGCCGGAUUAACUUGUUGGCGGGGUAACGGCCCACCAAGGUGAUGAUCCGUAGCCGACCUGAGAGGGUGACCGGCCACAUUGGGACUGAGACACGGCCCAAACUCCUACGGGAGGCAGCAGUGGGGGAUAUUGCACAAUGGGGGAAACCCUGAUUGCAGCGACGCCGCGUGAAGGAAGAAGUAUUUCGGUAUGUAAACUUCUAUCAGCGGGGAAGAAGAUGACGGUACCCGCACAAGAAGCCCCGGCUAACUACGUGCCAGCAGCUGC